rnacentral:rRNA from 1 species
AUUGAACGCUGGCGGCAGGCCUAACACAUGCAAGUCGAACGAGUGGCGGACGGGUGAGUAAUGUCUGGGAAAGUGCCUGAUGGAGGGGGACAACUACCGGAAACGGUAGCUAAUACCGCACACCAUCAGAUGUGCCCGGAUGGGUUUAGGUUGUUGGUGGGGUAAAGGCACACCAAGGCGACGAUCUCUAGCUGGUCUGAGAGGAUGACCAGUCACACUGGAACGGAGACACGGUCCAGACUCCUACGGGAGGCAGCAGUGGGGAAUAUUGCACAAUGGGCGCAAGCCUGAUGCAGCCAUGCCGCGUGUAUGAAGAAGGCCUUCGGGUUGUAAAGUACUUUCAGCGGGGAGGCGUUACCCGCAGAAGAAGCACCGGCUAACUCCGUGCCAGCAGCCGCGGUAAUUC